AUUGAACGCUGGCGGCAUGCUUUACACAUGCAAGUCGAACGGUAACAGGCCGCAAGGUGCUGACGAGUGGCGCACGGGUGAGUAAUGCAUCGGAACGUGCCCAGUCGUGGGGGAUAACUACUCGAAAGAGUAGCUAGUACCGCAUACGAUCUAUGGAUGAAAGCGGGGGACCGUAAGGCCUCGCGCGAUUGGAGCGGCCGAUGUCAGAUUAGGUAGUUGGUGGGGUAAAGGCUCACCAAGCCAACGAUCUGUAGCUGGUCUGAGAGGACGACCAGCCACACUGGGACUGAGACACGGCCCAGACUCCUACGGGAGGCAGCAGUGGGGAAUUUUGGACAAUGGGCGCAAGCCUGAUCCAGCAAUGCCGCGUGCAGGAAGAAGGCCUUCGGGUUGUAAACUGCUUUUGUACGGAACGAAACGGCUCUGGUUAAUACCCGGGGCUAAUGACGGUACCGUAAGAAUAAGCACCGGCUAACUACGUG
rnacentral:rRNA from 1 species